AUUGAACGCUGGCGGCAGGCCUAACACAUGACAGUCGAGCGAGCGGCGGACGGGUGAGUAAUGUAUGGGGACUGCCCGAUAGAGGGGGAUAACUACUGGAAACGGAAGAUAAUACCGCAUAGUAUCGGAUAACCCAUAUGGGAUUAGCUAGUAGGUGAGGUAAUGGCUCACCUAGGCGACGCUCCAUAGCUGGUCGGAGAGGAUGAUCAGCCACACUGGGACUGAGACACGGCCCAGACUCCUACGGAGGCAGCAGUGGGGAAUAUUGCACAAGGGGCGCAAGCCUGAUGCAGCCAUGCCGCGUGUAUGAAGAAGGCCCUAGGGUUGUAAAGUACUUUCAGUCGGGAGGCGUUACCGACAGAAGAAGCACCGGCUAACUCCGUGCCAGCAGCCGCGGUAAUAC
rnacentral:rRNA from 1 species